CCAAUCGAACGUGGAGAUAGCUGGUUCUCCCCGAAAUAGCUUUAGGGCUAGCCUCAUGGCGAGAGUACAGGCGGUAGAGCACUGAACGGGGUAGGGGCCUAUCCGGCUACUGAACCUAAUCAAACUGCGAAUGGCUGUACUUAUCCAUGGGAGUCAGACUGUGAGUAAUAAGGCCCAUAGUCAAGAGGGAAACAGCCCAGACCAACAGCUAAGGUCCCCAAUGCCGUACUAAGUGGCGAAGGAUGUGGAAUUUCGAAAACAACCAGGAUGUUGGCUCAGAAGCAGCCACCAUUAAAAGAGUGCGUAAUAGCUCACUGGUCGAGAGACUCUGCGCCGAAGAUGUCCGGGGCUAAAGUACGGAACCGAAGCUUUGGCAAUUAACAUAAGUUAAUUGGGUAGGGGAGCGUUCCUGCAUGGGAGAAGCCUGACCGGAAGGACAGGUGGACAGGCAGGAAGAGAGAAUGCCGGUAUGAGUAGCGAAAAGAAGGGUGAGAAUCCCUUCCACCGAAAGCCUAAGGGUUCCUGGGCAACGAUCGUCGUCCCAGGGUAAGUCGGGACCUAAUCCGAGGCGGAGACGCGUAGGAGAUGGACAACAGGUUGAAAUUCCUGUACUGGCUGAGGCCGUUUGAGCGAAGGAGUGACACAGGAAGGAAGGCGCGCGUGCGAUUGGAAGAGCACGUCCAAGCAGGUAGGUCGGGAGACAGGCAAAUCCGUUUCCCAGGAGGCCGAGAUGUGAUGGGGAGCUUCUGGAGACAGAAGCGAAGGGGCUGGCACUAAACUGUCGAGAAAAGCUUCUAGUGAGGACUCAGGCACCCGUACCGAAACCGACACAGGUAGGCAGGAUGAGAAUUCUAAGGUGCGCGGGAAAACCCUCGUUAAGGAACUCGGCAAAAUAUAUCCGUAACUUCGGGAAAAGGAUAACCCAGCGUACGUGAAGUGCAGAAACGCAUGGAGCGGAGAUGGGUGGCAGAAGAGAGGCCCAAGCGACUGUUUACCACAAACACAGGCGUCUGCUAAAGCGAAAGCUGAUGUAUAGAUGCUGACACCUGCCCGGUGCUGGAAGGUUAAGAGGAAGUGUUAGCGCAAGCGAAGCAGUGAAUUGAAGCCCCAGUAAACGGCGGCCGUAACUAUAACGGUCCUAAGGUAGCGAAAUUCCUUGUCGGGUAAGUUCCGACCCGCACGAAAGGUGUAACGAUUUGGGCACUGUCUCAACGAGGGACCCGGUGAAAUUGAAGUACCUGUGAAGAUGCAGGUUACCCGCGACUGGACAGAAAGACCCCAUGGAGCUUUACUGUAACCUGAGAUUGGAUUCCGGUAAGAGAUGUACAGGAUAGUUGGGAGGCUGAGAAGUGAGUACGCCAGUAUUCACGGAGCCAUUGGUGGGAUACCAACCUUGUUUUAUUGGAAUUCUAACGAGAAGCGUAACGAGCUUGCGGACAGUCUCAGGCGGGCAGUUUGACUGGGGCGGUCGCCUCCGAAAGAGUAACGGAGGCGCCCAAAGGUUCCCUCAGCGCGGACGGAAACCGCGCGAAGAGUGCAAAGGCAGAAGGGAGCUUGACUGCGAGACGGACAGGUCGAGCAGGGACGAAAGUCGGGCUUAGUGAUCCGGUGGUGCCGAGUGGAAGGGCCAUCGCUCAACGGAUAAAAGCUACCCUGGGGAUAACAGGCUAAU
rnacentral:rRNA from 1 species